rnacentral:rRNA from 1 species
GACGAACCGUGCGAACGUUAUUCGGAAUCACUGGGCUUAAAGCGUGUGUAGGCGGGUCGUUAAGUGUCUUGUGAAAUCCCCCGGCUCAACCGGGGAAUGGCUGGGCAUACUGGCGAUCUUGAGCAGUCUAGGGGCAGAUGGAACAGACGGUGGAGCGGUGAAAUGCGUAGAUAUCGUCUGGAACGCCGAAGGUGAAAACAGACAGCUGGGAGUGUGCUGACGCUGAGACACGAAAGCCAGGGGAGCGAACGGG